rnacentral:rRNA from 1 species
AGUGAACGCUGGCGGCAGGCCUAAUACAUGCAAGUCGAACGGCAGCACGGCAGAGCUUGCUCUGUGGGUGGCGAGUGGCGGACGGGUGAGGAAUACAUGGGAAUCUGCCCAGUCGUGGGGGAUAACGUAGGGAAACUUACGCUAAUACCGCAUGCGCCCUUCGGGGGAAAGCCGGGGACCUUCGGGCCUGGCGCGAUUGGAUGAGCCCAUGUCGGAUUAGCUAGUUGGCGGGGUAAGUGGCCCACCAAGGCGACGAUCCGUAGCUGGUCUGAGAGGAUGAUCAGCCACACUGGAACUGAGACACGGUCCAGACUCCUACGGGAGGCAGCAGUAGGGAAUAUUGGACAAUGGGCGCAAGCCUGAUCCAGCCAUGCCGCGUGAGUGAAGAAGGCCCUCGGGUUGUAAAGCUCUUUUGUCCGGAAAGAAAAGCGCCGGGUUAAUACCCUGGUGUCCUGACGGUACCGGAAGAAUAAGCACCGGCUAACUUCGUGCCAGC